rnacentral:rRNA from 1 species
UGUUACAAUGGGGGGUACGAGAGGGCCGCUACCACGCGAGUGGAUGCCAAUCCCUAAAACCCCUCUCAGUUCGGACUGGAGUCUGCAACCCGACUCCACGAAGCUGGAUUCGCUAGUAAUCGCGCAUCAGCCACGGCGCGGUGAAUACGUUCCCGGGCCUUGUACACACCGCCCGUCAAGCCAUGGGAGCCGGGGGUACCUGAAGUGCGUAACCGCGAGGAUCGCCCUAGGGUAAAACUGGUGACUGGGGCUAAGUCGUAACAAGGUACC